AGCCACAUACUCAAAAAGUUAAAUAGUUUUUGGUUAUGUUUAUGGACAUUGACAUGCAAAAAAAGAGGCCACACCAGCAGUUCCACGUUAGUUUGUUGGGUUGAAAGUAGGAAUAUAUAAGAAUCAUUUGAUUCUAAAGCUAAAAAUUAUUCACCAAACACUGGAAUUUGAAUUUUCAAUAUUAAGAUGACAUUUACGACCUUGGGGAAAAAUGGCUGCUUCAGAUAUGGUGUUAAUGGGUGGGUCAGCGAAAUAAGUUUCCGAGUUAAAAUACGUGCAUCAAAAUGAACGAAAAUUCUAGGUGGCUAAAAAAACAGUGCAACUUACUGGUUGUAUAAGAUGUAAGUUGUCAAAGAAGUUCCCGAUGUAACUCAUGAUGGAUAAUUUUGCCGAGAUUCUUUCAACUUUGGUUAAUUGCAACAGGAACCUAUCUUCCUCUGUAAGAGGCAUCUCCAGUUUUCUUCGAGAUAUUGCUGGAAAAAAGAUAUGGUGCAGUAAUUUAAUAAUAAUAAUAAUAAUAUAUUCAUUUUUUGCACUUUGCAUUUACCUUUAUCUAUAAGCAAUAAACGAAACGCACAGCGCAAAAGAUCAAAGCUCAAAGCCCAGUCCCUAAUUUCAUGGCAACUUAUAUCUAAACAUAUUAUGAUACAUACUGAAUAUAUCAAUUCAUUAACAUGAAUACAUAAAAAUCAAAACUGUACAGUAUUUUAUUAAUAGAAAUCAACUUCGGCUAAUUAUCUUUGGCUAAUAGAUUGAUUAUAAAGAAAAGUUUUAUAAGUUUUUCUAAAAGUGGGCAUCAGUUAUUGGGAACAGCAUUAUACCAUUUGUAGACACAGUAGGAAAACGAUGUUUCACAAUGCGGGGGAGGAGAAAUAAGACCCCUAUAUCAAAGAUACAAAGUGUGGACAUCAAUUCAGAAUUUUAUUUUUUCAAAGAGAUAUGUCAUUUAAAAUUAUAUUAUUGUAAAAAACGACUGCAUGAAACGGUCGACGUUUAUACAAUAUGCGAUCACGUCGCCUGAUACCGUAGAUCAACAUUACCUGACUCUUAUAUGUUGCAACAAACUGAAAGUGGUCAGUACAGUAGCUCCGCAUAAAGAGACUGCAGCACUUGGAAAAACUAAAUAAUGCAGUGUUGACAACAGAACUUCGUGAUUGAUUUUGUCGAAAGCUUUUUUGAGUAAUCCAACAAAAUAAGUGUGUUUUGCUCAUAUCACUCUUCCGAAGAAUGUCGUCUGUUAUAUUUAAUAGUACUGACGUAUAGCUGUACCCUUUUCGAAAUCCUAACUGCGAGGAGGGAAGUAACUGGUUAAUAUUUAAAUGAUCUUAAAUUUGCUGUUUAAUUAUUUUUUCAAGAACUUUCGAAAAUACGGAACCAUGUACAGAAACACAAGCAAAUAAUGGUUCAAAUGAAAAAAUGUUUGUUAUUUCAGUUUUUUAUGCACUAACGAGGAGGACUAAGACGGGGACAAAUCGCAAUGUAGAUAAAAUGGGUAAGAAAAUCGUCCGUCCUGCAAAUGCGUUUCUAAUAGGGUAAAUUUAAAAAUCUUUAAAAUAAAUUAAUUGUGUGUUCUAUAUAAGUUAUACAACUGUUUUUGCCUUUUUUUUUAAUCAAAAAUAGUCCCUGACAGCCCUGCUUUAAUUUAUAUAAAAUACAACAUAAUUUUAACAUUUAUAUUAACUUUUCUUACGUGUACUUUGAAAAAAUUGGCACACCUUCGUGCUUUUUCAUAGUUUUGCUUAGUAAGCAGUUUUAUAUUUUUUAAAUAUUUAAAUAUUAACGAAAUUUAGUUAAAUAUAUCCUCGUUUAGUGAAACUUGUCGGAUUUGUCUAUUUCAUAUAAGAUUUGUCAAACUUGAAGCAAUUAAAACAACUAGAUUGAGAACUUGCAGAAAUUUAAAACACACGACCUUAUCAUCUUUUCUGCCUAGGCAAGUCUAACGGGUGAUUUAUUGUAUGUAACAGAAAAUAAUUAAAAUGUUUGCAUUAUAAACCAAAAUACUGAAAUUCGCAGAUAUUUCCAUUUUUAAUUUAAUUAUUUCAUGUUUAUAUAUAUUAGAAUAUGGUAAACUAUUUUCGUAUGAAGUAAAGAU